UUUUCUUCUUUUUUCUUCCUUCAAGGAUAAUGGACGGCCAGUUCUUUCUUCUUCUUUUUUCUUUCUUCUUUUUUCUGCCUUCUUCCUUCUUUCCCUUCUUCCUUCUUUCUUCCCCUUAUUUCUUUUCUUCCCCAGCCUUAUUUCUUCACACAGUCAUAGAGAGCUAGAGAGGGAAAUGGAAGACGGAGACCGAGAGAGCUGGAGAUCCGGUCUGUGAGCGAGAUGGAAGAGGGAGACCGAUCGGAGCUGGAGAUGGAAGAGGGAGACCGAUUUCCGGCGACCGAUUCUCAGGGAUUGGUAUUUUUUUUCUGGUUUUAUUUCCGACGAUUUGCUGUUGUUUGGGUGUAUUGAAUUUGAUUUUGGGUUUCGGGUGUUUUGGUUUGAUAAUUUCCGGCGAAUUGGUUUGAUGAUUUAGGGUUUCUCUUGUAUUGAUUUUUUUUUUCCCAUUUUGGGUUUUAUUUCCGGCGUGAUGUUGUUGUUUUGGUCCCGGCGUUAUGCUGUUGUUUUUUUUCCCAUCUUGUAUUGAUUUUGGGUUUCGGGCGACUGGGUUGAAUGGCCGGGUUCUUGCUAUUUUUUCUGGCUUCUUGCUGUGUUUUCUGGGUUUGGGUGUAAUGAAUUUGCUGUUGUUUUGGUUA